AUAAGAAUAAUAAUUCUCCAUAUGUCAAUCAUUUAAACUUAUAUAAUCAACAAAAAAAAAAUUUGGUUACAACAAUAAUUACAAAAUCUUAAUUGUACUAAAUAACAUAUCGAAUAGACAUAAAAACCACCCGUCCUACAAACAUAACAACAAAUCCUUAUAUCAUAAUAUUGUAUUAAAUUGGUACCGGUAAAUAUUACAACAAUAAUCAUAAUAUUUUUUGAAAAAAAAAACAUAAUAUGUUCACAAAUUUGUAUGACAACUCUGUCAUCAUUUGACCAAUAUGCCUCAUCAACUUCUUGUUCACAAAAAAACUGGAUUAGUAUUCAGGUUUUGGGACAACUGAUCAACCUUAGCUUGAAAUGAUUCUUGUUGAGCUAUCUUUGUAGUAUUAUCUGAAAGCAGGCCAUUAUUUGUUACCAUCAGCAAACGAGUACAUACUUUUCAUUAAUAAAUUAAGCACAAAAUUCAUAUGCUCCAUGACCAUUAAAAAAAGAAAAAAGAAAAUGCAUAAUAUCCCACCUACGUAGCAUUCUAACCCAACUGAAUAGAUAUAACAAAAUAAAAUUGAUUCAUUUAUUCCAUGCACAUCUAAAAAUUGAUAAUAAAAAAAUAACAAAAGUAAUUAGUGAGAAAUCUCCAAUAAGCCGAACAAAUUAAGAACUCUGUUCAUCAAACAACCAUAAAUCAAAAAAUAAAAAAUUGGUCAUCAUUUACUUAUAUUCUAGCAUAUACUUCACAUAUGCAAGCUAGAAAUUUUUUACAUCACAUAUUAGAAUUUUUUCUCAAAUCUCAAAAGUAUAAAUUUUGAAUGAUAAUAAAAAGAAAUGAAGUUAAUUUAGUAAAAAAAAAAAAGAAAAUUAAAGAGAGAAAAAUUAGUUUUAAGAGAAUUGAAACCUGGAUUCCAAAGCAAGAGCAGCAACCAAACGCGGGUUCCUCGAUCAAACGAGCAGCAGCGACGCACGAGCAGUAGCCAAACGCGAGCAGUUCCAGCAGCCAGAAUCGAUCUCGAUCGGCGCACGAGCAGCACACCAGUGGCUUCCUCGAUCGCGAGCAGUUCCAGCAACAAGAGGCGGUGUUCUGGCAGCUUGCGGCAGCGCGAGCAGUUCCAGCAACUUCCGGCAGCCACAAGAUCUGGGAGAAGUGUGUGUGUGAUUUGUUCGUGUGUUAAGGGUGUGUGUGUGUGUUUUGUUCGUGUGUGUUAAGCGUGCAUGUGUUCUGUUUGUGUGUGUCAAGUUGGUCAAUUCAUUCGAUAUUAAUCUGCAAUUACGAUAUUAACCUUUUAAUGAUUUAACGGAACGAUUUCU
rnacentral:lncRNA from 1 species